rnacentral:misc_RNA from 1 species
AACGCAUAUUGCGCUCUCUGGUAUUCCGGAGAGCAUGCUUGUUUGAGUAUCAGUAAACACCUCAAAUCCUUUGAUCCUUUUUAGUUCAAAGGAUUUGGACUUGAGCUGUUCCCAAUGACAGAAUUCAUUUUUUGUUUGCGGGUCGCUUGAAAUGCAGGUGCAGCUGGGCUUUCUUCUGAGCUAUAAGCAUAUCUAUUUAGUCCCUUAAAACGGAUUAUUACUUUUUGCUGCAGCUAACAUAAAGGUUGAUUGUUUCCAAAUGGCUGACUGAUGCAGGAAUUUCGUAGAUUGUAAUGAUCUGCUAAACUCGAUCUCAAAUCAAGUAAGACUACCCGCUGAACUUAA